AGAAUUGCACCUGGAGGCAUACUGCAAAGACAAGUUGGUGGAAGCCGACAAAGAUGCAUUCCGAUGUCGAAUCAGACAAAUUCAGUAAUAAAAAAGUUUCAACCUGAAAAAACCUACUUUUGUUGAGACUUGUGUUGAGGGAUUCCAGAAUUCACAACCUCCGAGAUUCAACUUUCACGCCAAGGCAACAUAUAUGUAAUUACCUACCAUGUCUGUUUUGGCCUUUCCUAGAAAGCUCCAUGUAUAAUAUUCCGUAAAAUACA